rfam:Triticum urartu cultivar G1812 contig176380, whole genome shotgun sequence.
UAUGUACUCCAUCCGUUCCAAAUUACUCGUCGCAUAAAUUGAUGUAUCUAGAACUAAAAUACAUCUAGAUACAUCCAUACCUGCGACAAGUAAUUCGGAACGGAGGGAGUAACAC